rnacentral:rRNA from 1 species
AUUGAACGCUGGCGGCAGGCCUAACACAUGCAAGUCGAGCGGAUGAAGGGAGCUUGCUCCUGGAUUCAGCGGCGGACGGGUGAGUAAUGCCUAGGAAUCUGCCUGGUAGUGGGGGAUAACGUCCGGAAACGGGCGCUAAUACCGCAUACGUCCUGAGGGAGAAAGUGGGGGAUCUUCGGACCUCACGCUAUCAGAUGAGCCUAGGUCGGAUUAGCUAGUUGGUGGGGUAAAGGCCUACCAAGGCGACGAUCCGUAACUGGUCUGAGAGGAUGGCCAGUCACACUGGAACUGAGACACGGUCCAGACUCCUACGGGAGGCAGCAGUGGGGAAUAUUGGACAAAGGGCGAAAGCCUGAUCCAGCCAUGCCGCGUGUGUGAAGAAGGUCUUCGGAUUGUAAAGCACUUUAAGUUGGGAGGAAGGGCAGUAAGUUAAUACCUUGCUGUUUUGACGUUACCAACAGAAUAAGCACCGGCUAACUUCGUG